rnacentral:rRNA from 1 species
GACGAACGCUGGCGGCGUGCUUAACACAUGCAAGUCGAACGGAAAGGCCCUGCUUUUGUGGGGUGCUCGAGUGGCGAACGGGUGAGUAACACGUGAGUAACCUGCCCUUGACUUUGGGAUAACUUCAGGAAACUGGGGCUAAUACCGGAUAGGAGCUCCUGCUGCAUGGUGGGGGUUGGAAAGUUUCGGCGGUUGGGGAUGGGCUCGCGGCUUAUCAGCUUGUUGGUGGGGUAGUGGCUUACCAAGGCUUUGACGGGUAGCCGGCCUGAGAGGGUGACCGGCCACAUUGGGACUGAGAUACGGCCCAGACUCCUACGGGAGGCAGCAGUGGGGAAUAUUGCACAAUGGGCGGAAGCCUGAUGCAGCAACGCCGCGUGCGGGAUGACGGCCUUCGGGUUGUAAACCGCUUUCGCCUGUGACGAAGCGUGAGUGACGGUAAUGGGUAAAGAAGCACCGGCUAACUACGUGCCAGCGGCCGCGGUGAUACGUAGGGUGCGAGCGUUGUCCGGAUUUAUUGGGCGUAAAGGGCUCGUAGGUGGUUGAUCGCGUCGGAAGUGUAAUCUUGGGGCUUAACCCUGAGCGUGCUUUCGAUACGGGUUGACUUGAGGAAGGUAGGGGAGAAUGGAAUUCCUGGUGGAGCGGUGGAAUGCGCAGAUAUCAGGAGGAACACCAGUGGCGAAGGCGGUUCUCUGGGCCUUUCCUGACGCUGAGGAGCGAAAGCGUGGGGAGCGAACAGGCUUAGAUUCCCUGGUAGUCCACGCUGUAAACGGUGGGUACUAGGUGUGGGGUCCAUUCCACGGGUUCCGUGCCGUAGCUAACGCUUUAAGUACCCCGCCUGGGGAGUACGGCCGCAAGGCUAAAACUCAAAGGAAUUGACGGGGCCCCGCACAAGCGGCGGAGCAUGCGGAUUAAUUCGAUGCAACGCGUAGAACCUUACCUGGGUUUGACAUGGAUCGGGAGUGCUCAGAGAUGGGUGUGCCUCUUUUGGGGUCGGUUCACAGGUGGUGCAUGGCUGUCGUCAGCUCGUGUCGUGAGAUGUUGGGUUAAGUCCCGCAACGAGCGCAACCCUUGUUCACUGUUGCCAGCACGUUAUGGUGGGGACUCAGUGGAGACCGCCGGGGUCAACUCGGAGGAAGGUGGGGAUGACGUCAAGUCAUCAUGCCCCUUAUGUCCAGGGCUUCACGCAUGCUACAAUGGCUGGUACAGAGAGUGGCGAGCCUGUGAGGGUGAGCGAAUCUCGGAAAGUCGGUCUCAGUUCGGUUUGGGGUCUGCAACUCGACCUCAUGAAGUCGGAGUCGCUAGUAAUCGCAGAUCAGCAACGCUGCGGUGAAUACGUUCCCGGGGCU